UGGGGAAUAUUGGACAAUGGAGGAAACUCUGAUCCAGCAAUUCUGUGUGUGUGAAGAAGGUUUUAGGACUGUAAAACACUUUUAGUAGGGAAGAAAAAAAUGACGGUACCUACAGAAGAAGCAACGGCUAAAUACGUGCCAGCAGCCGCGGUAAUACGUAGGGCGCGAGCGUUGUCCGGAAUUAUUGGGCGUAAAGGGCUUGUAGGCGGUUGGCCGCGUCUGCCGUGAAAUCCUCUGGCUUAACUGGGGGCGUGCGGUGGGUACGGGUUGACUUGAGUGCGGUAGGGGAGACUGGAAUUCCUGGUGUAGCGGUGGAAUGCGCAGAUAUCAGGAGGAACACCGGUGGCGAAGGCGGGUCUCUGGGCCGUUACUGACGCUGAGGAGCGAAAGCGUGGGGAGCGAACAGG
rnacentral:rRNA from 1 species